CUUCCUUCCGCGGCAGCCUGGAGGCCGAUUCGCCCAUCCUGAAGGUGGAGCCACAGAGCCGGAGGAGGCGCCGUGGCGCUGUUAGCAUCGCCCUCUGAGGGCGGGGAAGGGAGGCGAAGGCAUCACCUACACUGAUGAUUCCCAACACUUAGAAGCCACUAAAAAUGAUGACAUCCACUGGACUGGUAGCAAAUAAUUCUACUCCAUUUUUUUCCAUUUCUGCAUGUAUUUCUAUACUCACUUCACUCUCUGCCAAGGACGUGCAUCUAAAAAAAAUUCAAUGGUUAAUGUUUCGAUGGACAGCAGUGCAGUUUUUACUGUAAGAGUUAAUGUGUCUGUCGAUGAAACUGUGAAUGCCCAACCUGAAUCUUUUACUGUGAGCACUCCUGCUGCCUCGUUGUGAGUGGUUCCAUUUUCAUUGCCAUCUUCCUUGCAUGAAUCGAGGUCAAUCAGAGGUGAAGGACAGAAAAACAGACUUCUGUUUGGGCAAUUCAGUCUGCAGAUGAAGUGGCUGAGACCUUUCAGGGCCCUUACGCUCUCUGAAAAGCCAGCAUCCCCUCUGCUCAGUGUUCCCAGUGGCCUUCCAUGCUGUAUUUGCUGCCUGCAUGUAUUUAAAUUAUGUCUGUUAAAUCAGAGGUGUUCUUUGUUACAAGAAAAACUGCUUUGUCACCCAUUGCAUUCAGCUGCUUCAUUUGUGAAGCUGACAGCAGCAGAGCAGGGCGCUAAAGGAUUGACACUGAGACUCCAAAACAGUGGUUAGAGCAGUGACAGAUAGCAGGGCUGCUGAAGCAUUUCGAUUACAGCUAUUAAGGGCAGGAAACAGUCUUUCAUUCUGUGUUUGUAUGGCACUUCACACACUGUGUUCCUGCUUCGGAGCUGGAUCCUAAGUAUUAAAUAGUAAUAAGCCAUGAUGCCACUUAACAAAUAGAAACUGCUGGUUUACAGAAGUUCUUAGUGCUUCUUCCCUCCAUGGAAACAGAAUACUUUUUUAAUUUGUUAAAUCUCCUUUAUAUUGCAGGAAAGUGUGAACUAUCCCCUUUUCUCAUUCUAGAGGCUGAGAUGGAAGAGUCUAAAAAUGACACCGUAGAUUUUUAAAGUUUUCAUACCAAGAAUUUGCCUGUCUGAGCAAGCAGCAGAACCCAAUUAUCUUUGUAUUGAUAAUAUACUGCGCUUCAUGUUGAAAUGUGGACUUCGUAUCUGGCAACACAUGAAUUAAGAAGUAUAUCAGAAAAAAAAUCCCACUGAAGUGCCUGCUUGUUGCUUGGGUUCCCAUUUAAUAAUCAAGGUAUUCUUAGUGCAACCAUUUUACAGUGUGUGCUGGAGACCUUCAGGAAAUCAGUGUGAAGAAGAAAGGUGCAAAGGAGAAAACAGGAGGAAAGGGAAUAUGAACUUACUGUGUCCUUCUAGGCAGAGCUAUACACAGAUUCCCAGUCAUUCCAUUUUUUAGGAAUGGGUCAAAAUACAAUUGUCAUUUACUGUAUUUAAUCCUUGCUGUUAGAGCAGGAUUUGCUCACCUUUUUGGAUAAUUGUUGUUCCAUUGUAGCAAAAUUUGCUGUGUUUUGCAACCAGUGAAGCCCCUGUGACUAUCUUCCCCUACCCCUCCACCCCCUACUGAGUAUCUCAUGGUAAUAACUCUGUACAGCCAGGUUUCUGUUGCACUGUGUAUCUCUGGAAGAGCAUUGUUUCGGUUUUUGUUUUUUGAUUUUAUAACGUGUAGCAAUAGAGGAUCCCCGGGCUUUGGUGGUUUAUUCAGUGCUUACUUGCUGUUAGAAACACACACUUUAUUUUUAGUUCGGCUUCCUUGGAAUCAUAGCUUAUCUUUCCUUGCAUGAAGAGAUCUCUUGUUUUCUAAUUCUGCAAGUAUUGUCAUUGCCCUUCUUUGAACCCUCUCCAGGUUUUUAGUUGACAUUUUUCCUUAUUUAAUAAUUUAUUUCAUUACCCAAUCUGAUGGAGAUAUGAAUAAUUAGUGCAGUGUUCUGGUACUGGUCACAACAAAGCAAGUACAGAUCUUAUAUGGUUUCCUGAUUCCUGCAAGGUUUUGUGUUCAUACAUCCAAGGGCAGUCAGUGAUAACCUUGCAGUCCUGCAAGGCUACUGGCCAAGGUCUCUUCAGGAAUUUAUUACCAAUGUAUAGAAAUACAUGGAUUAUGGCAAAUAUGUAGGAAACUAUGUUCUAUGUCUUUCCUUGGCCUCCUUUAAAUUAAUAGGAUGGUCUUGUACCAAUUUCUUUGUUACCACCACUUGUGCAGUUUUUGGGUCAGCUGCUAGCAGUUGGAAAUUACUGUCUAUAUUCCUCUCUAUAGUUGUUAGAAAUGUCAAAUAAUGGAGCUCAGAACUGAAGCCUAUGUGACACUGCUGUAAACAUGCCAACCCUGUGAAGGUUGCCUCACUGCAGUCACAUUUUGUGGCUAGUUAGGUAACGAGAUCUCUGAAAAUGAACAUAUUUUCAUCAGGACAAACCUGCUGCUUCCCCACUUUUAGCAAAGAGACAUGAACUGCUUCUCAGGAGAUUUUUCAGUCAAGGGAGCUAGAGAUUUUAAGUACCACAAUUCUUUUUGGAAGCAACAGACGUGAAUUCCUGUAUCAACAGCUGUAUCUGUUACCCAGAUGGACAGUGAAGAUGAUAAAACAGUAAAGCAAUCUGCAUGGAACACUUUCUAGAGAGAGGAGGGAAGAUUAAUCAGUCAUUCACGUGCCUUCCAUUUGUGAUCUAGAUGAGAGUUUGGAUACAGAUUAAGCUACAUAAUUUACACUAAAAAUGGAACUGACGUGGAAGAGCUAUCAGCAUUGUACCUCAGAGUAUUGUGGUGAUUUGGGAUUUACAGAAGAGCAUAAAAAACAAGGGACAAUUCAAUAGAGUACUGUGCAUGCCAGGGAGAAGGCAAAAAUGCAGGAUACCAGCAGUGUGCUUACACAGGUUGUUCUUUGUUUUUUCCAUUUCACCAUGGCAUUUACGUAAAAAAGCUAAUGAAGCAAGUAUGCUAUCUGCAAGUUUUCCUUCCUAUCAGAGCGCAUAAGCAUUGGUUCCCUCUCAGUGAAGGUUCAGGAUGCAUCUUUACAGCUGAUCCCAAUAUGUUCAAACAAGCCAGGGUGAUGCAGACGAGCAUUUUGGGGUCUGUCCAUCAAUGUUUCUACGUGAAUCAGCCUUAGAGCUCUCCCAAUAACCAGGAGUUAGCAGCUGGCCAGUUUACAGAUGUCUUCUUGGGUGGUGUGGCUUCUCUCAGCUCUGUAAAUGUGUUGGGCUUAAAAGCAGUUACCAGCAGCUGAGGCUCAGCCCUGGGGUUUUUUUAUCAUAAUUUCCAGCUGUGGUACAAAGUACUCUGUAGGUCAAUUCCAGUUUCUAGUCUGAGAGGACAAAUUACUCAGUACGUUCAAUGGCCUGUGCUGCACCAUCAGUUUAGAUUUCAAUAUGGGUUUCACCAGAAACCAUCAUGAUAAUGGCCCUUCCCUUGGUGAAAUUAUAUUGUUGAUGCAUUUUUCAAUGAAUAUCCUCUGCAUCUUUCACCUUGGAGUUUCUGUGUUUCUGUCCCCUUCAAUGCAUUAUGCAGAAUGCUCUUCAUGGAUAGAAACAAAGUGGGGCAGAUGAGAACAGGAAAAAGAAAGCUUUGGGUGUAUCUGAUAUCACCCAACCUUAGAUCUGGCAUCUCAUCCAAACUGAGCUUCUAAGCAUCAUCCAUACCAAAGGAAGAUCAAUCUCCAGAACAUAAUUCAUCCCUUCUUAAAAUAGCAUAGGAAAGCAGAUAGGCUGGACUCAAGUUUAUUUCUUCUAGUUCACAGCAGAAGGUGCUCUUCUGAAUAGCUUGAAACAGAUAUCUUCUGAUAACCAGAAUUAGAUAUGGUUUUUUUCCCUCUAUUUACCUAGAAAAAAUUGCAGAAUUUUGCAGUAAAAUGUUUUCUUAUUUUAUGCAUUGACUUCCCAUUAAAAAAAACAAAACUGUUUUAGCACAAUGUGCUUCAUAUCCCCCAUUGCAAUGACUGUCUCUGCAAAUUUUCCUUGUUGAUCUCAUAGCUCUCCAGAACUUCCUUCCCUCCUAAGGUAUUUUCUUCCUGAACCACAAAUCUGAUCUAUUUGUCUCUUUUAAGUUCUUCCAAGACAUAGAAAAGUCUUAAGUCCGCUCACAUAAAUCCGUGCAAGUGCCUAAAGUGUAUUGAGGUCUUCUGUUUGUUGAAAGUAGCCAGAGUGAAGAAGCCACGGAGUGCUAACUUGCAGCCUGUCCCUCUACUUCAGAGUAACCUUGCACGAGGGCAGCUGCUGUGUUACAGCUGCCGUGUGAUCUGCCUUGCAAAUGUGGACAAAUGGUGUAUAACUGGAUUUCCUUCAUAAUCUGCCAUAACAAGGAAGACACACUUAAAUUCCGCAGAUAGCAUCACAUAUCUCUGAAAUCUGUAAAAACAUCACUUCUCUAACCAAUAAAGCAAGGGCGUUUUUUCCUAUCAGGAUGCCUUGUAAUAGAUUAGAUAGCAGAAGAUGUACUACUGGCGUGUGUUUUUGGCAGCCUGCUUUGCUUAUAUGCAUGGAAAAACACUUAAUCUAAAUAUCGUGGCUCUCUUCGUGGUUGUUUUCAUCUGAAGUUAAAGCUAUGCAAUUAAAAAUAAUAAUAAUAAUAGUAAAGCUAAUGGAAUCAAUUAAGUUUUUUAGGUGGAAAAUUCUGCCAGUGGAAGGUUGGAGCUGAUGCAUCGAUACCACAUUCAGAAGAUGCCAUCCCUCGGAAAUGCUCAGAGACCUCUGCAACGUCAACACGGGCUGAUGAUGUUCUCUCAAUGCUUUGCACAGUGUCUCGUCGAUUCCUUGGCUUUGUCAGCUGGUGCUGGAUUGUAUGCAGUGGCACUGAUGACUUUAUAAAAACAAAUGACAGAAUUGUUUACACGGCCUUGCUAAAGGAAAUAAUCACAUUUAGUAGUGCUGGUUUCCCAUACAGGGCUUUAAAAAGGGGCUCUCGUGCUAUAUGCUGUGAUAAGCUUUUUAUAAAUGCGUUCAUGUGGUGCUCAGUACAGCCUGCUGUGCCGAUGCUAUAAAACCAAAGGGGAGCUUCAUAAGCUUUAAGUGCAAUCAUAUAUUACUGUGCAGCAGCAUUCCCUCUUAUUAAUAAAGUUUGUAAGAAAUACCCAGGCAAAGAUUAAAAAUACAUGUAUGACACUAUCCACGGUAAUAAAAGCUGAUGUUGUCUGGA